rnacentral:rRNA from 1 species
AGUGAACGCUGGCGGUAGGCCUAACACAUGCAAGUCGAACGGCAGCACAGUAAGAGCUUGCUCUUACGGGUGGCGAGUGGCGGACGGGUGAGGAAUACAUCGGAAUCUACUUUUUCGUGGGGGAUAACGUAGGGAAACUUACGCUAAUAUCGCAUACGCCCUACGGGUGAAAGCAGGGGAUCUUCGGACCUUGCGCGAUUGAAUGAGCCGAUGUCGGAUUAGCUAGUUGGCGGGGUAAUGGCCCACCAAGGCGACGAUCCGUAGCUGGUCUGAGAGGAUGAUCAGCCACACUGGAACUGAGACACGGUCCAGACUCCUACGGGAGGCAGCAGUGGGGAAUAUUGGACAAUGGGCGCAAGCCUGAUCCAGCCAGACCGCGUGGGUGAAGAAGGCCUUCGGGUUGUAAAGCCCUUUUGUUGGGAAAGAAAAGCAGCAGGUUAAUACCCCGCUGUUCUGACGGUACCCAAAGAAUAAGCACCGGCUAACUUCGUG